ensembl:lncRNA
GAGUGUCAGCCCUGUCGUCUGCCAAACCAUUUCUUAGAAUCUGGCUACUGCCAUGAGUGUCGAACUUGUGAACAUGAGGUCACAAAAAAAUGCACGUCAACCUCUAACGAAGAAUGCUCUUGCCGUCUUGGCUUUGAUUGCACCAGCUUAGGCUGUGAGACGUGUGUGAAGCUACCGCACUGUGGGAAAGGAACACAACUCAUAAAGACAGGCAAAGUCUAGGUGAAGCUCUAUACACUGCAGCCUACCUUACUGUGGCUAUGACCUAGCAGACUGUCUAUACAUUAUAUUGUAUAGUAUAUAUUAAGUUCUUUUUAAGGUAAGCCCAAGGCCUGCAUAGUCCAUCGCAGCUUAAUUUAAAGUCAGCUAUAUCCUGUGUAUAAGCAGGAAUCCCAUUUUUUUCUGGAUAUUUGGAACAUAAUAGCAUGAUUUAGCACCAGAUUCAGGCAGCAAGGACAAAAGGCAGAGGCCUCAGUGUGGUAUUUAAACAAAAGUAACUAAACCAUAUCCUGGCUUCACAUGAAGAUUGGUAUCAUGGCUGGAUGUACCAUUUCACUGUUGGCUUGCACCAUGGCAAUGGAGGAAACUAUACAAGCAUCUAAAUGUGUUGUUGGUGGUGAGAGGCUGCAGGACGGCACCUAGUUACCAUCCAAGCUUAUAUGGAUGGCAUGAUGACGACAAUGAAAACAACUACUCCAUGUACCCGUUAGCUGUAUGCCAAGUUGAAUGACAAUCUGAAAUGGGCAAGGACAAAAAUGAAGCACAGCAAAUGUAGAAGUUUAUCUUUCAGUAAGGGAAAACAGGUGGAAGAGAGGUUUUGUAUUGAAGGUGAGGUGAUUCCUUCUAUUAUAGAAAAACCUGUGAAGAGUUUAGACAGGUGGUAAAAUUCCACAUUGAGUGACCGAGGUCAGGUUUCAGAGCUUAAAAAAUGAAUUGUAUCAGUACUAUUGAUAAGACCUGAAAUUGUGGUGCUUGCAGUUUGGGCUUUAGCCACAUAUAAGGUGGUCUUUGACUGUGUAUGAAGUUGCUAUUUCAGGCGUGGAGAAACUUGAGUCACGUAUAAGGUAACUAGGAAAUGGCCUUUAGGAGUUACUAAUGACCAGCUUGGCGGAGGAGUUCAAAUGUGCCAAGACCAGCCUGGGGAGGAAUUCGUCACAGUCUAAGGAUCCAGUAGUCACACUACCGCAACGAUAAAAGCAGGGAAGUAGUGGAUCCACAAGAAGAGAUUCAACAUUUACAAGGCACAUUACAGCAUAGGCAUAUCAUUGGUCAGUUACCGGAUGGAAGAUCAGGGUUUGGGCUAGGUGCCAGUUGGAAAGCAUGGGGUAAGGGUACAUUGCUGUAGAGGGGUCAGAUGGUAACUAUCUUUGUUCGCGAGCAAGAGGAGGGAACUAGACAAGCAGGAGUGGCUUCCCACACAAAGCAGGGGCAAUGGAUGAACUUGCAUGAUGUCGAGACUAAGAAGAUCAGCUGGAGAGAAUAUUGGGCCACUUAUAAUGUUCUUCCUGGGUGGGUGAAGACGGAAGCUGCAAGUUGUGUUUGGGUGUAAACUAGCCUGACCCAGGGUCGCUACAGGGGAGGCAUAAUCAGAUUUAUGAUUGAUUGAUGGUUGAGGUCAACUCUUUGCCAAUUAAUGACAUCAUUUAUUUUAUGCAAGAGGGGCUGAAAAGUGGAUCCCAGCCACCUACAAACAGUACUGGCAAAUGGGGCAUUGCGCGGGAUUGAAGAUUGCUGGCUGAUAUCGGAAAACCACUUCAGUUCCAGAGUAUUGUUGUGACUAAUAUGACACCAGACAUGGUAUUGUAUUUUGACCGCAUUGUUUACUUUAUCAAGUUUGGCGUCAUGGGCCUAAUUCAACAAAACACUGAUGAAGGAAGGUGCCUGCUUGAAAACCCCACUGAAAACCCCCUAACAGGUCCCUAGUACAACAUGCAGAGCGUGUUGCGGCUGUCACCAGCCAGCUGUAUGUUGUUGUUGUAUCCUGCUGCUCAGGAUGUAUGGUUGGGAAGUUGUUAUAUUGGUUAGGGUAGGUUGUUGGGUAUGAGUACUUGCAUGUGACAGUGCACGUUGGACAGUCAGAGGAUUGGCAGCUGUGGGACAUCCACAACCAAUAGCACAAAGAAUUUAACAUGUUUCAAUCACAAACCAUGAAAUUAAUUAGAAUUUUUUUUUAUCGCUUGACAGCCCUAAUUUAUUAUAAUUUUAACCACUCCAAAGUCAAAACUAAUGCAUUUGUUUUUAAAUUUUUACAGGAAAUUUCAACUUUUUAUAUUCUUGCCAGCCAUGUACAAAUAGUACAUACUCUGACACUGUGAAUGGCACUUGCAAACCGUUCAUAAAGUGUCACAGCAUGGGUUUGGAUGAGGUCUUUCCAGGCAACAAAACUCACAAUGCAAAGUGUGGUAUAAAAGGCCUCACCACUAGUCAGGAUAUAUUUAUAUUUGGGUCAAUUUUUAUUGGCCUUAUCUGUUUGCUCAUGCUGUUGGCUAUCUGUGCUUGGAGGAAUAAAUCAAGGACGGCUUGGUCUGCUAAAUACACCUCAAGAUAUAAGCCUAGGUUGGCUUCAGAAGCAGGCCACUUGCCCUUGUCAGUUGAAGAGAAGGGAACCAAAAUCUCACUGGAGGCUCCUCUAAAAGAUAACAUUAUCAUGCCUGAAGCUGUAUAGUUCAGCAACUGGAUUUGUCUGUCUAUAUGAGUGUCUGUCAGAAGACCAACAGGUGCCAGCAUUUUGUGUGUCAUGGUAAUAAGUAUUUCCUACUCUGACACACCUGUGAUAAUAAGACUUCAAGCAGUAAACAUUUAUACAUUUUAUUUUUUUUCUGCUUGUAAUCUCAUAUCCACUUACCCCUAAAAUGCCAUUUGAUUCUUUCUAUGAUAGAUUAGUAGCCUACAUUAGAGCUGGCAUGAUUACCUUUGCCUCCAGGAGUUUGCGAAGUUGCUAUUUUCUCUUAUUACCGCAAUAUUUCUGCAAACAAAAGCAAAGUCAUGGAAUUUCUGCAUUAUUUGAUUUAACCCAAAAUUGCCACUAUUUUAAACCUACAUUUUUGAGAAAUCCCACAGCAAAUUCAUUCACUUUUGUCCGCAACAAUCACAACAAGCCCUCGCAAGAUUCUGGAAGGACUGCUUUGUGGAUUUGUACAUGGCUUGCUCAUUCUAAUCUUGCAGCACUGUACCUACUGUAGGCUACUCAUUAAUGGCCAUUCAUGAGAUAAUCUUGAUAUGUAUUUGUUUGCUUUGCUAAUGAUGGCGAUUUCCAGUAUAUUGCUGAAAAAUGUUGUUGUUGUUGUUAUGUUAUAAACUGUUUUGCUUGUUGCAGAGCUGAAAAAUGUCUGUUACUGCUGUAAAUUACACCUUUUAAAUUAAUUAUUCAUACA